CACACAGUCAUGCUUAGGAUUUCACUGACACAGGUAUGCACCCAAUACCAUUGUCCGUGUCAACAGCAGAGAAGUUAAAUAGAACUCACACCAACCCUUGAGAUGCAGGCAGUAAGUUUUCUGGAUAUGUUGUCAGGUGACAGCUCCAUGUUUGACUGCCACGAUCUGCUUGCUGAUGGAGCUGUGAGUGGGUGCUCAGCUCAUCACACACUGAAAUAAAAAUACUAAUGCACAGAAGAAUGAACUCAUUAAAAAAGGCUUUAAUCCACUGUCCUGUACAGAAGAGUGAAGAAUUCCACUGAAAUCCAAGAAGACAGCCGCCUUCAGAUGAUACAGAGCUUACUGACAGUUGCUCUUGCUCCAGUCCUACUUCAUGAGAACUUCAGAAGAUACUAACUGAGGUCUGAAUGUAUUGCUCUUGCAGGUGCAACAAAUUGUGGUGUGAAAAUAUGAUAUGGAGAGUAUGAAUUUGAAUGUCGCGAAACAUCUGAAAUGUCAAAUUGUUUGCCAGGCUGCACAGCCUGAUGAAACUACCACGUCACACACAACAGUUCACUUCCUUUGAGCUGUCACAAGGUGAUAAAACUUUUCCAAUUUCAGAUGAUUGAUUAUUCUCUUUUACAGAGUCAGGAACAUUUUUCUGAGGAGUAGAUUUAUAACUGUGUAACAGAUGGCAUUCUUGUUCACCAC